rnacentral:sRNA from 1 species
UAUUGCUAAUUUUCUAUUAUUAAUCACUUAGUAGUAUGAAAAUUUGGACUUGUUUCCUCAUUUAUAAAGUUUAUACUUUAAAAAUAUUUGUCAUUUUCCUUUUCUGAAAAAUGUUCUAUGUUUUUAGGUACGGCCGAAUAGAAAUUCUGUCUGGAUUUAUUAAUGGACUUUUUCUAAUAGUAAUAGCGUUUUUUGUGUUUAUGGAGUCAGUGGCUAGAUUGAUUGAUCCUCCAGAAUUAGACACUCACAUGUUAACACCAGUCUCAGUUGGAGGGCUGAUAGUAAACCUUAUUGGUAUCUGUGCCUUUAGCCAUGCCCAUAGCCAUGCCCAUGGAGCUUCUCAAGGAAGCUGUCACUCAUCUGAUCACAGCCAUUCACAUCAUAUGCAUGGACACAGUGACCAUGGGCAUGGUCACAGCCACGGAUCUGCGGGUGGAGGCAUGAAUGCUAACAUGAGGG